GAUGAACGCUGGCGGCGUGCCUAAUACAUGCAAGUCGGGCGAACGGACGAGAAGCUUGCUUCUCUGAUGUUAGCGGCGGACGGGUGAGUAACACGUGGAUAACCUACCUAUAAGACUGGGAUAACUUCGGGAAACCGGAGCUAAUACCGGAUAAUAUUUUGAACCGCAUGGUUCAAAAGUGAAAGACGGUCUUGCUGUCACUUAUAGAUGGAUCCGCGCUGCAUUAGCUAGUUGGUAAGGUAACGGCUUACCAAGGCAACGAUGCAUAGCCGACCUGAGAGGGUGAUCGGCCACACUGGAACUGAGACACGGUCCAGACUCCUACGGGAGGCAGCAGUAGGGAAUCUUCCGCAAUGGGCGAAAGCCUGACGGAGCAACGCCGCGUGAGUGAUGAAGGUCUUCGGAUCGUAAAACUCUGUUAUUAGGGAAGAACAUAUGUGUAAGUAACUGUGCACAUCUUGACGGUACCUAAUCAGAAAGCCGCGGCUAACUACGUG
rnacentral:rRNA from 1 species